GCCCGCUCAGAAACUCAAAGGAAUUGACGGGGCCCGCACAAGCGGAGGAGCAUGUGGUUUAAUUCGAUGAUACGCGAGGAACCUUACCUGGGCUCGAACGUAAGAUGACUGUAGGUGAAAGCUUACAUCUCUUCGGAGCAUUUUACGAGGUGCUGCAUGGUUGUCGUCAGCUCGUGCCGUGAGGUGUCGGGUUAAGUCCCAUAACGAGCGCAACCCCUACCUUUAGUUGCCAUCAGGUUAAGCUGGGGACUCUAAAGGAACUGCCUACGCAAGUAGUGAGGAAGCGGGGAUGACGUCAAAUCAGCACGGCCCUUACGUCCAGGGCUACACACGUGCUACAAUGGCCGAUACAGAGGGCAGCUACCUGGUGACAGGAUGCAAAUCUCCAAAGUCGGUCUCAGUUCGGAUCGGAGUCUGCAACCCGACUCCGUGAAGUUGGAUUCGCUAGUAAUUGCGCAUCAGCCAUGGCGCGGUGAAUACGUUCCCGGGCCUU
rnacentral:rRNA from 1 species